GAUGAACGCUCGCUACAGGCUUAACACAUGCAAGUCGAGGGGCAGCGGGAUUGAAGCUUGCUUCAAUUGCCGGCGACCGGCGCACGGGUGAGUAACGCGUAUCCAACCUUCCGUACACUCAGGGAUAGCCUUUCGAAAGAAAGAUUAAUACCUGAUGGUAUGAUGAGAUUGCAUGAUAUCAUCAUUAAAGAUUUAUCGGUGUACGAUGGGGAUGCGUUCCAUUAGGUAGUAGGCGGGGUAACGGCCCACCUAGCCAACGAUGGAUAGGGGUUCUGAGAGGAAGGUCCCCCACAUUGGAACUGAGACACGGUCCAAACUCCUACGGGAGGCAGCAGUGAGGAAUAUUGGUCAAUGGAAGAGAGUCUGAACCAGCCAAGUAGCGUGAAGGAUGAAGGUCCUACGGAUUGUAAACUUCUUUUAUAAGGGAAUAAACCCUCCCACGUGUGGGAGCUUGUAUGUACCUUAUGAAUAAGCAUCGGCUAACUCCGUG
rnacentral:rRNA from 1 species